UACAGAGGGUGCGAGCGUUGUUCGGAAUUAUUGGGCGUAAAGGGCGCGUAGGCGGUGCGGUAAGUCACCUGUGAAAUCUCCUGGCUCAACUGGGAGUCUGCAGGCGAAACUGCAAGGCUUGAGUCCGGGAGAGGGGGGUGGAAUUCCCAGUGUAGCGGUGAAAUGCGUAGAUAUUGGGAGGAACACCGGUGGCGAAGGCGGCCCCCUGGACCGGUACUGACGCUGAGGCGCGAAAGCGUGGGUAGCAAACAGG
rnacentral:rRNA from 1 species